GCCCGUGCCCUGUCCCGCCUACACACGGCCCUCGCCUAGGCGGCAGCCAGCCUCUCCUGUUCCGCCUUCUCGCUCUCCCGCUUGGCCCACGCCAGCUGCUGCUCCUCAUUGCCAAACUGCAAAGGAAAAACGGAGAGUGGGUGAUGUGGCCCUGGGGCUGGGACCUGCAAGCUGGAGGGAGGCAGGGAAUGCGUGGGAGGGGUCAGGGUCCUGCCCACCGCCCAGCGGAGGGUCCGAUGUGCAGGGGAUAAGCAUGUCUUGGCUGGGCCCAGUGGGCGUGCGAGCCUGUCUCAGGCCCCCCAUCUGGAAAGCAGAGUGGACGGGAUGCAUGUGAUUGAGUGUGACCUUAACCAUGACCUCUGGGCCUCAAAGAAACCAGCCACCCCGCCCCACGCAGAGAAGUGAGGAUGGGCCCUUGACGCUGGUGGCCAAGAGGUGCAAAGAUGGGGAACUUCCAGCGUGCAUGGCUCUAAAGCCCCACGGCGCAGACAAUUCUGCACUCUGGGAAUGUGGUAUUUCUACCUCCAGCCAUGCUCCAGAGAGCUCUGAGACCCUCUGAGGGUCAUUUUCUUUUUCUUUUUCUUUUUUUUUUUUUGAGAUGGAGUCUCGCUCUGUCGCCAGGCUGGAGUGCAAUGGCGCGAUCUCGGCUCAUUGCAACAUUCACCUCCCAGGUUCAAGGGAUUCUCUUGCCUCAGCCCCCUGAGUAGCUGGGAUUACAGGCAUGCGCUACCAUGCCCAGCUAAUUUUUGUAUGUUUCGUAGAGACGGGGUUUCACCAUGUUGGUCAGGCUGGUCUUGAACUCCUGACCUUGUGAUCCACCCGCCUCAGCCUCCCAAAGUGCUGGGAUUACAGGCGUGAGCCACCGCACCCGGCUCUGAGGGUCAAUUUCUCCCAGAACACUGACAAAAGGUGUGGCACUUACACUGCCAUUUAGUCAAGUUUUUAUCCGUGGGGUGUUUUUCUAAAAUGUUCAGUUAAAAUAAAAACUUAAAAAAGGGAGAAAACCAUCUUGAUGCUGAGAUAGGUGAUUUCAAACAACUCAAAGUACUUUAGUCAUGAAAAGAAAAGCCACAUCCCACAAGCUCCUCCCCCAGGGUGGGUCCCAAUGUCCCAGACUUCCCUGAGAGGUCACUGGCAUCAUCGGCCCCCUCAGGAAAGCUGCUGCUGCUUAGGGAUUCAAAGGAUUCCCUUAUUAAUGUCUCUCUGCGAUGCACUGCCUCUGACCAGCUCUCUGCUCAACACUGGAGUAACACCAAAGAUAACAUGCGCAGUGGCUCUUCCCCAGGCACCCUUGGGAGCAGAAAUAUACAAACAAUCCCAGAACGAUCCAGGACCCAAGGACCCAGGCUCUCGAGGAGGGCCCUGCAGACUAACCCAGGAAGGUGGGGGAAAGAAGCACACAGGAACACUCACGGCCUCUCCACCACACGCAGCACUAGGUCUGCGUGACAACCUGGGGGUGGGCCCGCUGUCAUCUCAUCCCUCUGACAGCUGGGGACACUGAGGCCAGGGAAGGGGUGGCUCACACUCUAGACUUUUUCCCCCCCAGGCCUGUGGGGAGCAGGAUACUAGGUGAAACUGACAGGGAGGAUGCGUCCCUGCGAGGUUCUGGGUGUGAGGCUCAGUGCCCGACCUUGGGGUAGCCAGGAUGAAGCGUGGGGUGGGAUAAGCCAGACUGAGGAGGGGCUCGUGGGCCCCAGGAAGGAGCUGGGAUUUCCCCGUGGAGGCUCCUUGGGCGAGCGAGUUGGGUGAUCAGAUUGGCAGCGUCUGGAUAUUUCACGGCUUGAUGGUGGCAUGAGCGGGAAGCAGGAGAGAGGAGGGCCAGAUGGCAGGGCUGGGGGGACUGGGCAAGGUGCAGGAGCAGAUAAAUGCAAGGAACCUGGUUGGGAGGCAGAUGUGGCAGUGAGGGGGAUGCGGGGCCCUGGAGGCCUCCCUCUAGCUGGCCUCAGGACCCAGAUGGGGGACAGGCGGAGUGUCAGUAUCAAGAAAAGAUGUCCCUGGGAGGAAGGGCUGAGUCUUGACUUCUUAAAGAGGCACUGCCCAGCUAAACACUUGGGGGUCUGAUGAGUCUCCAGGUCGGACUCCCUCCCCGCCAUUGUGUCACUGCCAGGGGCACAGAUAAGCAUCCCCCCCGCCCCAGUUUGGGGAAUUUUCCAACACCUCAUGGGGAGAAAAACAAGGAAAAACCAACAAGUGCAGGUGGAAAUUAUUCCAUGGUGCUGCUGACAACAGUGGGAGGGAGACAGUGCAGCUGACGGGGACCUCACCCUCCACCAGCCUUGAGGACAGGGUGGGUGGGAGCUGACAGUAAUGUUCGCCUGGAUCCAAAUCAAAGCCUGGAACGACCAAGUAACCGGCCUGCUGGGUCUGAACCACAGCCCUCUGGCCGCCUUUGGCCCCACUGAGCCCCCGUGUCACAGUGUCACUGAAGCGCCUUCCCUUGACGGGUCUGUGUUUCCAAAUGAAAGGUGUCAGCAGGAAAGUUCCUGGUGCCUUCAGAGUCGACCGGUUCAAGGCCAGCUCACGAAUCCACUGUGGAGACUUGCAUUGGUGAGGUCUGUAUGCACUUAGGAGGCACGCUGGGCUGUGAGGCCUGGGAGAGCUCUCCUGAAAGGGGACUCCGCAGCUCCCUCUGUGUCUGCUGUCUUAGCCCUGGACGGGGCCACCUUCUAGUUCUCGUAUCUGGGUGGGUCACACGGGCCAGAAUCUGGAUGUCUGUGGCCGAUGCAAAACCAAUAGUGGCUGGGAAACACACUGGCUCUGAUUUCUGCUUCCCUCUGGCAUUACCAUGGAACCGAGACACCGUAGGGGCAUGACACCACCCUAGCCGAGGCCUGCCCACUCAGGAUGGGGUUCAUUUUCAGAAGCAAAUAAGUGGUUCAUUUCAGCAGCCUCUUGGAAAUCCGCAGUUUAGACAGCUCGGCACGCUGGGCGAUGGGAUGGCCCCGGGAGGCGCCCGGCACCUGUCCUCACUGGCGCUCCAAGGUGUCUGAUGGCACUUCCACCCCACCAUGUGCAGGACAUGCCUAGCCACUUCCCAUUCAUUCAUUUACCGACAAUGAAAUUGUAUCCAACUCCUUCAAUAAUUCGAAGCACGGCCUAGCUGAUCUGGUAUUUGCACUACUCUUAAUGCGAACUUCCAAAAGAACCGUUCCGCUAACCUAGAAAUGCCACUUCCUAAUACACACAUUUGCCUGAGACAGAAAGGCCUGCUUUUAAAGAAAUACCAGAGAGGGAAGAGGUUUCCCGGGAACAGCCACACACGCAAAUAACCCAUUGAUGGAAAUUUGGGGUUUGUAAAUUAGAGGGUUCUGGAGAGGCACCGCCGGGGCACCACCUCCACAAGUGAGGUGCGGGUGACCUGGGCCCCCCUGACUGCCAGCAUGGACUGGGCUGCUCCUGCACAGGUAAAAACAUGCCCUGAACAGCAGUCUCAGAACGUCCACGCUGAAAGAGUCACGCUGCCAAUCUGCCGGGCAGUCAGACAGCCCUCUUGGCAUUUGCUCAGGGAAGUGGAAUCAUUCAAACCAGAGGAAGCAGCUGUGCCCUCUUCUAAGUUAGCACAAAUAGUCAAGAUCCAGUGAACCCAGAAACCACCAGCUGAUCGGCUGAGCCCCCGAAUGCCGUGAACAUGGAGAGACGUCAUCUUGAGUCCCCAGAGGAGAGCUGGUUAUGGAUGAUUUUAGACAAUGAUACGACCCAAGGGGACAAACAAAAACAAUUAAGGGUCCUGUCUUCACUCAACCCAUCCCUUCAGAGUGGCUGAAGUACACUAUCUGAUCAUUUCCUCUGGAAAAAAACUGGGGUAUUUGCAGUGGGAAAAGUGAUUUUAAACAGAAAACAGGCCGGGCACAGGGGCUCAUGCCUGUAAUCCCAACACUUUGGGAGCCUGAGGCAGAAGGAUCAUUUGAGCCCAGAGUUCAAAGACCAGACUGGGUAGUAAAGUGAGACCUUGUCUCUAUCAGAACAUUUUAAAAUUAGCCAGAUGUGGUGGUGCGCGCCUGAGGUCCCAGCUACGUGGGAGGCUGAGGUGGGACGAUUGCUUGAGCCCAGGAGGUCAAGGCUGCAGUGAAGCUGUGACUGCACCACUGCAUUCUAGCCUGGGCAACAGAGCGAGACUCAUCUCCAAAUAUGUAAAAACCAAAAACUUAGGGAAAAAAAAAAAAAAAACAGAAAACAACAGGGCUGCAUCCAGGCCUGGGUGGAAUUUGCUUUCCCACCAGGAGAUGAGGGUGAUAAAAUGGCUGGCGCUAUUUUAAAACUGAAGUUAACAAUUGUUCUGGAACUACCAGAAAUGCUAAGCCAAAUGAUACCUUGAAACCUUGGGUGUUUUUUUUUUUUUUAUGCUUUUCGAAAAAACGAGCCCUUUGCGGGUUGGGGUCACAGGAAAUAGAAUUAUGAAUUUCAGAAAGAGAACAGUCAUUUCUUCAAGCUGCCGUUCACCCCACUUACCUAACUCUUCCCUACCCAAGACAGAGUACCUGAGUCAUGUGUGAAGAGUUCUGUUUUUUUUAAAUCAGCGUUUAAUAUUUUUCCACCAGAAAAUAAAUGAAGGGCUAUUCAAGAAACUCUAGAUAAAGCAGGUUUUGUUUCUGGCUUUUAUUAACAAUGUCACCAUUUUGUAUAGACCCCCAGUGCGCAUCUAGGGUCAACAAAAUCAAACUCACUGCCGUUGUAAAAUAUUUAUAGGUCACCAAGAGCCAGAAACAGGUCAGGGUCUUGGGCGAUUUAAAUAAGCCACAUGGGCCAGUCACGUGUAACCCCAGUACUUCAAGGUGGGAGGAUCGCUUGAGGCCAGGAGUUCCAGACCAGCCCAGGCAACACAGCAAGACCCUACCUCUACAAAAAAAAAAAAUUAAACAUUAGCCUUGCGUGGUGUUGCACGCCUGUCGUCCCAGCUACUCAGGAGGCCAAGACAGGAGGAUCGCUUGAGCCCAGGAAUUCGAGGUUACAAGUGAGCUCUGAUCGCGCCAAUGCAGACCAGGCUGGGCAACACAGCGAGACCCUGUCACUAAAAUAAAUAAAUUGACAAAUAAGCCAUAGGAUAGCUGUGCACGGUAGAGAUUAUCAAGACGGCUCAGAAACAAAUCGGGUGCUUUCUGUGCAUUGACAUGGCAGGGCUGUGUUCAAAGAGCCAUCCCAGGAGUCGAAGCAUCUAUAAAUAACACAUCUCACACCUAAUGAUGAAGGAACUAACAAGCCCAAAGGAAGAAAGCGAGGGCAUCACACAUAGUGAAACCAAUUCUGGGAAGACAACACCUGAAGCUUUCAGAGAACAAGAUUUUCAUGUAUCAAGGAAGCUGCUAAAAACUCCUUGAAGCGACGGCAUGUUACAAUCUGGAAUAUUUUUUCACACAGAGAAAAACAAAGCCAGGCUUUCGAAAUCCCGAGAUUUGCUUCCGAAAAGGCACUUAACUUUGCUCAACAGUUUUUUGGAGCUCUUUUUGUUUUGGCUUUCAGAGUGGCUGUUCUAGACUGGAUUUCUUUUUUCAUUGGAGCUGGUAACUGAAAUUUAAAAGCUUUAAAAAAAAAAAACUUCAAAUUGCUCUUCCCUGGCGCGAUCUGCCUGAAGUCCUUCAAUUUGCACUUGUGGCACAAAAUGCAUGGGGCGGGACUGUGAGAACUUGUGCACAAAGGGCUUUUUGGGGACAGCAGAACCCUAAUGUAACUUUCGCAAUCUUCUUUUCAUACUUCGGAAGUGUUUGACAUCUUGGCUUCCAAAAACCAGUGAACACAACAGCCUCGGUGCGUCAGAAAUAAUACAAUGAAUCUACCGUGAAGGACAGAUAGGUCCCGCCUCCCUGCUGGAAGAAAACGUGCCCUUAUGAUAGAGCAUCCAAACUGCGGCUCUUUUUUUUUUUAUUGAGAAACUGUUUUUCUUACAGAAGUGGCAGUGUAGAAUAAAUAACGCGAGGGACAGAGAGUGUGAGGUACCAAGAGGCUAA
rnacentral:lncRNA from 1 species